AAACCAUGGUGUGGAUAGCUCCUCACUAAAUCCUUGAAACAUUCCCAGCAAUCGUAUAAAUUUUCAUUCUCUUGUUGAAGAAAUCCUGCUAUGUCAUUCCUCAACUU
rfam:Ricinus communis cultivar Hale ctg_1100012359370, whole genome shotgun sequence.